CGCUCACGAUGGCGAUUUCUAGCGUUUGGAUCUGCUGCGCCUUGAUCUCCCUCCUCACUGCCGCGCCUCUCCGGGCGGAGGACGGCGCGGAGGUGGUGGAGGAGUCGGCGGUGCUCACCCUCGACGCCACCAACUUCUCCGAUGCCAUCGCUAAACACCCAUUUAUCGUCGUCGAGUUCUAUGCGCCAUGGUGUGGGCACUGUAUGAAACUUACUCCCGAGUAUGAGAAGGCUGCUUCAGUUCUUAGUAAGCAUGAUCCUCCAGUCAUACUGGCAAAGGUUAAUGCUGAUGAUGAAAUCAACAAAGAACUUGCCUCAGAGUACGGGGUGCAGGGAUUUCCCACAAUUAAGAUUCUAAGGAACGAAGGGAAGGGAAUUCAAGAAUACAAUGGCCCCCGUGAGGCUGAUGGUAUCAUUGAAUACUUGAAGAAACAAGUUGGCCCUGCUUCUUCUGAAAUCAAAUCCUUGGAAGAUGCUGGCAGACUCAUUGGUGAUGAGAAUAUCUUCAUUGUUGGGAUUUUCCCUGAAUAUUCUGCUGAGGAGUUUGAGACCUUCAAGACAGUAGCUGAGAAAAUGCGUUCAGACUAUGAUUUUGGUCAUACCCUGGAUGCUAAGCUCCUUCCUCGUGGGGAUUCAACAAUAUCAAAACCCACUGUUAGGAUAUUUAAGCCAUUUGACGAACUUUCUGUUGAUACUCAGGAUUUCAGUGUAGAUGGUCUUGAAAAAUUUAUUGAAGGCAACAGUGUACCUCUUGUAACCACUUUCAACGAUGAGCCAAAAAAUCACCCUUUCCUAACAAAGUUUUUCAACAGUCCUAAAGCCAAGGCUAUGCUCUUUCUGAACUUCAGCAAUGAG
rnacentral:misc_RNA from 1 species